GUCCAUAACUCACUGGGAAACUCCAUAGCGGUAUCCGCAUAGCCCCUCACAGGGUCCUCGCGGUUUGGCCCAUAGGUCCGUCUAUUGCCCAUUAAUUGGAAACGAAGCUCUUUUGUGGAUCUCCUGCACUUAUCCGGUUCUGCACAUCAGUGGAGUCAGUAUGGAGAUGUUGUGGCACUUCCCUCGCAUGGCCUCCUCUAGGAUGCCCCAGUCAUGAUCAGGCAUGCUUGACAUACGCUAUAUUGGCAGUUGAACCGAACCGAACCGAACCUCUGGUCAAGGAGGAAAUUUCGCCCGGCUAAUCUUUCUCAUCCAGGUUUUGGCCCACAGCCAGCUAGGUCUACUCCUCUGGCGCGACACAAGACAGGAAGCUGACAUAGAAGAAUGGGGGGACUGACUGUGAGGGACACAGGAGCCAAGGCAGGAGCCAGGGCAGUAGACACUGACGAGUUCGGAAGUCAUUGUUUCAGUUUACAGCCAUUCACAGUGGCAAGAAUCUUAUAACUCUGUUGCACUUAUGAUCCUGUGCUGAUGGGGUGAGAUUUGUUUUAACUUCCCAGGUUACAAUUAGGUUAACAAGGCUUGGGGUCUGUCCCAAUUCCCACAAGCCUAAGAGUCCACAAUCAUCUUUCAACAUCAACAUCAACAAUCUGGAAGGCUGUUAUUUAGCACAGCUUUGCUGUGACCUACAUGCUAUUACCAGCAUGCUAACAUGCUCUCACUCACCAUGACAACAUGCUAUAGGCAAUUAACACCAAAAGCCAAAAAAAA